AUGAGUGAGACUUAUUUAAAUCGUUUUGUAAAUGCUUUGGCUAAACCUAUUGAUGGGAAAGGUGAAAUUACAGCUUCCGAAUCUCGCUUGAUUGAAUCUCCUGUUCCAAGUAUAAUUUCCAGGCGUUCCGUAUACAAACCUCUUCAAACAGGGCUUAUUGCUAUCAAUUCAAUGAUUCCUAUAGGGCACGAUCAGCGAGAGUUAAUUAUUGGAGACAGACAGAAUGGCAAAACAGCAGUCAACGAGAGUUAG
rnacentral:rRNA from 1 species